GAUGAAGAACGUAGCGAAAUGCGAUAAGUAAUGCGAAUUGCAGAAUUCAGUGAGUCAUCGAAUCUUUGAACGCACAUUGCGCCCUGUGGUAUUCCGCAGGGCAUGCCUGUUCGAGCGUCAUUUCAACCCUCAAGCUCUGCUUGGUGUUGGGCCCUGCCCGCUGCGGCCGGCCCUAAAGACAGUGGCGGUGCCGCCUGGCCCUGAGCGUAGUACAUCUCUCGCUCCAGUGCCCGGUGGUAGCCUGCCAGAACCCCAACUCUCGUGGUUGACCUCGGAUCAGGUAGGUAUACCCGCUGAACGUAAGCAUAUCAAUAAGCGGAGGA
rnacentral:misc_RNA from 1 species